AGUGAAUAUGCUUGGCCUAGAAUGGAGAAAUGGUUUUCAGAGAAGUCGUGUAGGUUCUUUGGGACUUUGAAGAGAGGGAGUGGCAUGUGGUCAACGCACUUCCACUGAAGAAGUUGAGUUUUGGUUUGGGGACUUUUUUGCUUUCCUUGUUAAGGGCAACAUAAGCAGCAUUUCAGGGGAUGGGCAGGCGGCUUUCUUCUGCUGGCUGGCUGACAGCGCAGGUGCUGCUGGAGCAGCAGGCACUACAGAGCCAGUGUUCUCCAGUAAGCCCUCUGCCACUGUUCUUUGCUUGUUUCACCCUUGAGGAUGGCCUGCAUGGAGAGACGGGGUUGCAUCAUGUUGUCUAGGCUGGUCUACACUCCUGGACUCAAGCGGUCUUCCCACCUCGGCCUUCUAAACUGUUGGGAUUACAAAUAGAUGAGGUCUUGCUCUGUGGCCCGGCGUGGAGUGCAGUGGUAUGACGAUAGGUCAUUGCAGCCUCAAACUCCUGAGCUCAAGCAAUCCUCCUGCCUUAGCCUCCCAAGUUGUUGGAAUUACAGGUAUCAUUUCUUAAGGAAAAUGUUCAGGAUGGAAACCUAAAAUACCUUGAGCUUCUCUGGCAUCAGGUCCCCACUUUAUGUUGGACAUAGCUCUAUCUCAUAAUGUCAAGAGCACACAGCUGUUGCUAAGACCAUGGAGGAAUAUUGACUGUUCAAGGAACCACAAGAACGCAAAGAAGGAGGAACAAAUGGGGGAUGAUGAAAUAAACAGGCAGCAGGUGCACAGACUCCUCGCAAUGCAAGGCCACUGCCAGGGAAUGCUGGAGGGGUGAUGCUAGCAAUUGAAGAUUGUCUCUCCUACCCUCUUCAAUGCCUCUUUCAGCAAUAUGAAGUUAAAACCAGAUUAGUGUUGGGUCUGAAGUUCCAAAUCCUGCUGCCUCUGUGAAGUCUUUCUGCUCAUGCUAGAAGCAAUAUCACCUCUUCUAGAAUUGUAAAGUGCCAUUUUCCAUACCACUUAUAAUAUACUGUCUUGUAGAUGUUUUUCUGUCGUCUGUAUUUCAUCCCUCUAAUAGAUGAUAAAUUUCUAGAGGAUGCCUCCCACAGAAAAAGUGCUCAAUAAAUAUCUGUCAUUGGUGAAAACAGAUUAUAGAUGAUAUUUUGUUGGAAGAUUGGAGGCAAAGUCUCAAAGAUAAUAUCAUCCUCUAUGCCACUGAGAGUAUUAGUAAGGCAGUAUUUCUGAAAGAGCACUCCACCACUACCUCUGGGAUUUUCUUGCAAGCUACUGAUACCAUCUUUGCAAGAAUGGAGGCAAACAUUCAGGCUACCAGAAUUUAAUCUCUGUAAUUUCCUUGCCAACAGCCAUAAUAAAUGCUUCUUGUUUUCAGGUGAGGUGAAAUGUGAAAAAGUGUUCAUCAGAAUUGGUGAAAUAUGGCAAUUACAACUUUAUUUAAAACAAUGCACGUCACUUUUUGAAAAUAUUUGAAAACUUCUGCUAUAGUCAAAAGAACCUUGGUCUUAAGGAAUCAGAGGACCUGGGUUGAAUACUAGUUCUCUUGACUACCUAUGGCAAGUAACAUAAACUGUCUUAACUUCCUCUGAGGAAUAAGCAAUUUACCUUGUGGGGUGAUUGCAAGAAUUAAAAGAAAAUUUAAAUUCCACAAAAGCAGAAAUAAUUCUAUCCUGUUUGCCACGAUCUUUCUAUUCUCUCAAGAAGUAACAGGGACCUAGAAAGAAUAAAUGAAACAAUGAAUGAACAGUUAAUACAUAGCAAACUACAUGUAGAACUGUCUGUGUUGGAAUGUUGCCAUGGUGGAAGGCAGUAUGUUCUAGGAGAAAAUGCAGCAAAAAAUGUUUCAGUAAGGAACAUUCUUUAGUCCCUCUCUCUAUUUUUCCCCAGUCAUUUUGUGGUUUUGGCUGCUAUUGGCUUGUAUCUGCUUCCCAAAUGCUAGUAAUUUCUUCCAAUCUAAAGUUGCUUGUUUAUUUUCUUGUAUAUUGUAAAACAAAGGCAACAUAAUUGCAGGCCAGAAAGCUAUUUUCUCACUCUUGAAUUCUUAAAAAUGUCAUUUGUUCUAGGUUUUUUUCGCAUGUAUUUAUUAUUGAAAUAUUAAGAGACACAAAAAACAUGGAAAAGAAAAAAAUCAUUAUUUCAAAUUCCUAACCUAGAGAGAAUAAUUACUAAUACUUUUUCUUACUUAAUUGGCA
rnacentral:lncRNA from 10 species